rnacentral:rRNA from 7 species
CAACUUUCAACAACGGAUCUCUUGGCUCUCGCAUCGAUGAAGAACGCAGCGAAAUGCGAUAAGUAAUGUGAAUUGCAGAAUUCAGUGAAUCAUCGAAUCUUUGAACGCACCUUGCGCUCCUUGGUAUUCCGAGGAGCAUGCCUGUUUGAGUGUCAUGU